rnacentral:rRNA from 1 species
CAUGAACGCUGGCGGCAGGCCUAACACAUGCAAGUCGAACGAGUGGCGGACGGGUGAGUAACGUCUGGGAAACUGCCUGAUGGAGGGGGAUAACUACUGGCAACGGUAGCUAAUACCGAAUACCAUCUGAGGCGACCAGAGUGGAUGAGGUUGUUGGUGGGGUAACGGCUCACCAUGGCGACGAUCCCUAGCUGGUGUGAGAGGAUGACCAGCCAACCUGGACUUGAGACACGCGCCAGACUCCUACGUGAGGCAGCAGUGGGGAAUAUUGCGCAAUGGGCGCAAUCCUGAUGCAGCCAUGCCGAGUGUAUGAAGCAGGCCGUCGGGUUGUAGAGGUCUUUCGUCGGGGAGGCGUUAGCCACAGAAGAAGCACCGGCUAACUCCGUGCCAGCAGCCGCGGUAAUAC